rnacentral:tRNA from 1 species
ACCUGGCUGGCUCAUUCAGAAGAGCCCGUGACUCUUGAUCCUAGGGUUGUGGGUUCGAGCCCCACGUUUGGUG